UACGUAGGGUGCGAACGUUAAUCGGAAUUACUGGGCGUAAAGCGUGCGCAGGCGGUGAUGUAAGACAGUUGUGAAAUCCCCGGGCUCAACCUGGGAAUUGCAUCUGUGACUGCAUCGCUAGAGUACGGUAGAGGGGGAUGGAAUUCCGCGUGUAGCAGUGAAAUGCGUAGAUAUGCGGAGGAACACCGAUGGCGAAGGCAAUCCCCUGGACCUGUACUGACGCUCAUGCACGAAAGCGUGGGGAGCAAACAGG
rnacentral:rRNA from 1 species